GCACAAGCGGUGGAGCAUGUGGUUAAUUCGAAGCAACGCGAAGAACCUUACCAGGUCUUGACAUCCCGAUGCUAUUUCUAGAGAUAGAAAGUUACUUCGGUACAUCGGUGACAGGUGGUGCAUGGUUGUCGUCAGCUCGUGUCGUGAGAUGUUGGGUUAAGUCCCGCAACGAGCGCAACCCCUAUUGUUAGUUGCCAUCAUUCAGUUGGGCACUCUAGCGAGACUGCCGGUAAUAAACCGGAGGAAGUGGGGAUGACGUCAAAUCAUCAUGCCCCUUAUGACCUGGGCUACACACGUGCUACAAUGGUUGGUACAACGAGUUGCGAGUCGGUGACGGCGAGCUAAUCUCUUAAAGCCAAUCUCGGUUCGGAUUGUAGGCUGCAACUCGCCUACAUGAAGUCGGAAUCGCUAGUAAUCGCGGAUCAGCACGCCGCGGUGAAUACGUUCCCGGGCCUU
rnacentral:rRNA from 1 species